UGUAUGGUAAUUAUGGUGCCUUUCUGUUUUUCCUAGGCACCUUUUCAGUCCAUUCUACUUCGAUUCACUUUCACGCCUCUCCAUAUAUUUAGUUCACCUCUUUCUAUUUUCAUCCUAUUCAAAACUAUGGCCAAAGGUUCCAAGAUGUUCACACUUGGCAGUAGAAAGAGCUCUCGCAAUAAAGAAAGGGAAAGUCUCUUCCCUUAUCCCUCUUGACUCAGACUUCUAUGAUCCUAUCUUUCCUCAAGUAUCUUCUAAUUUGACCCAAUUUGGCAUGCAUCUCUUCAUUCGCGAUGACUUUUAUAGUUCUAAGAAUAAAGUGAAGUUCGAUAUCAAUAACCCUCUAAAUGUGAAAAUUAAUUUUUGGAGACCUUUGAACGAAUUUCUAUUUCACUCUAUGAAGAGGUUAUCUCUUCUUCAUGGCAAAAUAGUCAAUUUAGACUUCUUGAAUUCUUGCAUUGUACCUUAAAAAUCCUAUUUGAAUACCAGGAUGGUUAUAGGAUGGUUAUCUCUUGUGCUUUCUUCUUUUUUGAUUGAUAACAAAGGGGGAGAAUAAGGAAUAGGGGAAAAGAGAAAUCGUCAACACUCUAAAAAAGGAAUAAAAUGAACCUCUAUAGAUUGAGUAAGGAUACUGUACAAAUAUAUCAAAGGCCUUGAACAUUCAUAAAGGAAGAAAAGCAUCUAUGAAGAUAUUACAACAUGUUGUAAUAACUCUUGGGCUAUGUCUAAAUAUAUCAAGAAGUAUAUUAUGAAAAUAUCCUCUAUCUCUAAAUAGGUUGAAGAGAAUCUCCAUAGAAGUACCAUCAAAAGGCAUGCCAUUCCAAGAAAGGAGAAAGGAUCUGGUGCAUUAAUCAGGGUGCUUAAAUCACGAAAUUAGUCGUCUCUCCAUGUAUAUACAAUAUCUUAGAUUAGUUUUUUCUUUAUAGUCCUUGCUUAUCUUUGGAAAUUGAAUAUUUAUUAUUCAACUUCCUACAGAGAAAAAUCCUUUGGGCCGUCUUGUAACUUCCAAUGGCUAGUAGUAGUCCAAUCAUCAUUAUAUAAGCAUUGAAAGUCAGAGGAAGAGAAAUACUCUUAUCUCAACCUUCUCUAGUUCUUUGCACUGCUUUAUUUAAGUAUUGUAUUCUUUUUAAAGGUUUAUUGUGUCAUUAAAAAGAGAAGAGAAACACAUUGUAGGUGAAACCUUGUAUCAAAGUGUGAAAGAAAAGAAUAGAGAAUGAGUCCAAGCCAAAUAACAUGACUCAAUCCUGUAUUUAGAUAUUAUUUGCAACAUAAUUAGUAGAAUUCCUUGCAACCCAA